AGCUCCAAUAGCGUAUAUUAAAGUUGUUGCAGUUAAAAAGCUCGUAGUUGGAUUUCUGGUUGGGCAUUUGGGUCUUCCUUUUUGGACUGUACCUCAGUUGCCUGACCAUCCUUUGGGAGAACCGUAGUGGCAUUAAGUUGUUGGUGCGGGUAUCCCAAUCUUUUACUGUGAAGAAAUUAGAGUGUUCAAAGCAGGCUUACGCCGUUGAAUAUAUUAGCAUGGAAUAAUGACAUAGGACUAUUGUACUAUUUUGUUGGUUUGCGCGCAAUAGUAAUGAUUAACAGGGACAGUUGGGGGUAUUUGUAUUCCAUUGUCAGAGGUGAAAUUCUUGGAUUUUUGGAAGACAAACUACUGCGAAAGCAUUUACCAAAGAUGUUUUCA
rnacentral:rRNA from 1 species